AUUAGAUUCCCUCAGCUUUUUCCUGGCCUCCUUCUUCUGUCCAAGGACCCUACAUGACAUCUGGUCAUCAUGUCUCCUUCGGCUUCUCUUGGCUGUGACAGUUUCUCAGAUUUUCCUUGUUUUGGAUGAUCUUGAUGGUUUUGAGGAGAACUUCUCAGGGAUUUUAAGGAAUGUCCCUCAUUUGGGAUUCAUCUGAUGUUUUUCUCAUGAUUCAACUGGGCUUGUGGUUUCUGGGGAGGAAGACUACAGAAGUGAAGUGCCUUUCUCAUCACCUCAUAUCAAAGGAACCCCUGAUAUGGUCAAACAGCCAGUUUAUUAUACACUGGUAAUGUGGACUUGGGCAUGGCUAGGGUGCUGCCCAACACUCCGAGGGCCAGAAGGAAGGCAAGAGGGAGGAGUCUUGGCUGUUGGUCCGGUAUAGCAAGCAGAGGGCUAAGGAAUGUAUACAUCUCAAAAGCCAGGAUCCUACAGGACACUCUGAAAAUGGAAUUUAUAUCCUAACCCAGGGAGUCACUGCUGUGUCUGUGGAUAAAGUCACCAUGCCAUCACGAACGUGGGAUGAUUCUUUGGGAAGAUGAAUGGCAAAAGCUUCUUCUGGCAGAGAGAUCUGCAUGUGGAAUUCCCCUUGAAACGCGAGGGACUAUUGCCACGAUCGCGGCUCCAGCCAUAUGAGGCUGGUUUAUAAACAAAAAUCCGGGAAAGCUUUGGCUUAAUUUAAAACAGGAAGCAGCGACCCAGAGGGGAAGGCUGGACAGUCUCGGAGGGUGAGCCUUUCUUGCAGUUGGGGAAGGCAGACAGAGGUCUUGGUUAAUCCGAGGUCUUCUGUGAACCGAGUUUGAGAAAAACAAAUCACAGAAAUUUUACCAGGAAACUUGGUUGAACAGGGAUUUUAUUGCACAUCUGGAAGAUGUUUUCAGGUAUUCAGAGCCUUUAGAAUGAAAGUUGGUGAGCCUGCAAUGAGGGCGUGUGUUUUUAUGGGCAGAAACUCCAUUACUACACGCUGAAGACAUAAGGGUGUUUGUAUUCUUCUGUGUUCCCUUGAUGAUGCUAAAUGGAUUUGUUACCCUCCUCUUCUUUUCAAAUUCAUUGGCUAAAAAAGCAUAGACCUAAGUAGAAUUCUCUAAGUGGGUUUAACCAUCGAAAUGGUGGCUCAAUGAAGCAUUGAUUCUGAAACGUCUUAAUGGGAUCCUUGAUGAUUUAGGUCACCUAACCACUUUAGGUGACAGAACCUUUGGACAAAGUCCAUUAUUCUCACUUCAUAUUCUACUAAUAAUACAUCAUGUCGAGAUGAUGCAAAACCACCCAUUUGUCCCCAAACCAAGAAUGCCCUUCUUCAAUGCUUCCAUUCCACGUAGGUCUACUGUGUUUUAUUUCCAUCACGCUAUCCCAGGCGGAAGGACAUGCCCAGGAUGUAAAAUCAUUAGUGGAACAUAACCUAACAACGCCCUUUUAGAAUGAUCAUGUUUAUCUUAAACACAACAUUGGAUUAAGCGUUUAUAUUAUCGUUAAAACCUCGAAAUAAAGAACAAUAAACCAAAGAGAUUCCAACGCCUUCAAAGUAACUCUGAAGAGGAAACCUGUCUCAUGUCUUGCCUGGGAUCUCAGAGGGCUGUGUUCUGCCAAAUGUGUAAUUUGGGCAGAUAAAAAUAAGUUGAACGGGUUUCAGACAUCUGUUGUCAGACUUUGGCAGUGGAUAAAUAAAAGCAACACGGCAGACGGUCAAGUCCUUCUCAGCACUGGUUGUGACAGAGAAAUUCUGAAAUCCUUUGCAAUUGGCUUUCAAAGAGGUCACCCAAUAAGGUCUUUUUUGGGGAAGAGUUGACAUGGAAAGAGCAGAAAAGUCCAGUCAUAGAAUGGGAUGAUUUUUAACAAAGUGAGCAUUUUUAUUAUAAACUUUACAAAGUACCACCCAAAGCUAACACGUUCCUUCAACCGUUGUAUUGAGUUAGGAGCCCAAGAACUUGUCUGAAUCCCUUAGACUUUGUCUCUUGGUGGUGGCAAGGAUGACGUGAUAAGAUUCCAAAUAGGAGAACCGGACUUGAUUUCAGAAGACGUGAGCCAAAAAAUCCUUCCCAGACUCUUCACUCUGAGCUGGUUCAACGAGCAUUUCUGAGAAGGGGCUAUUUUCAUUUUCCUGGAUAAUCAAUUACGGGAAGCAGAUGUUGCAUAUGUCAAUCUAUCCAAAAGGCCCAGGUGUCGGAGAGUGACUUGGUUUCCCCACUGGUGUCUUGAGAGGAAGCACUGCCCUUUUGUGAAAAAUACACAAGUCUGCACUGACUUUCACUGAUCGUCUGUAAAGAUGGAUGCUGGUUCCCUUUCUUGGCUCUCUAGAACUCCUUGCGGGGGGGAAAAGCUGGGCACACCAGCCUGCCAGCAUCUCCUCCACCCCAAGGUUGUCUGGAUUGCAGCCAGGAGUCACCGUGGGUGCCGGACCCAUGGUCACAGCCACAAUGGCCACAGUGAACCACAAGCGAGAGUCCCCAAGGGGGCCAAGAAAUGUUCUCCCAUGCACACUUGUGGCUAAGUACCACCAGGGCAGCAGAUAGAUAGCGUGAGGACCAGAAAAGUGUGGGCAGAGACCCUGACACAGAGACCUGGCACAGAUUCCAUCUCUCUGAGUUACCUCUUUGCACCUAGCCAUGAUGGGGGUUUAUCUUCAUUGAGAGUCUCCUGUGCAUUCGAGGUGACAUGGGUUCUGUUAAUCUUCUGAUCUAGCUUGGCUUUUAAAAACUGUAUCUUUAAAGCACUUUUCUUCCCAGAAUAUUUUCUUGUGCAAAGUUCAAUGUACCAACUGGCUGGGAAGAUGACAACACAGCUUCAAAUGCAUCCCGAUGAUGGCCAGAUCAAUGGAGAGGUCUGCUCUCCCUCCCACCUCAAGUCUUUAAGGGAGUUAGAAAGCAAGAGCUUAGCACAAAUAAACUUCUGCUCUCAUCACUUCCUUUGCCUGAUCUUUUCAAGUCAAGAGGUUUAUGAUUACUGUCAUUAUGACUAUUGUCAUUAUUAUUUCAUCCCCCAGUUAACUACAGUAAUAGCCUUAAAAACACAGCUCUUGGCAAGCCUCUGAGUCUCUUGACCAGAUCUAUGGCGGUGAUGAGAAUAGGGAAUUUUUGCUGAUCUAGGCACGUAUCUGCCUCGGGUCCUAAAGCCAUGAUGCCCAGAUCCCACAGGACUGACUCACAGGUUUGAUUUGUUUUUCCAAGGGCACUCUUAUAAGAAUCAGCAUAGGAAAACUGGCUUUGGUGAAAAGCAUGGGUGAUUCAGUAAGAAAAGCUUUUGCAUGCCAGGGAGCAGUGGGGACAUUACGUUUUUGGGCUUUUGCCAUUUCUGGCAUCACUGAGACUGUGUGUCUCCCAGAGGCACCGCUUCAGCUCGCCCUGCUGCAAAUGGUAUCUGGUAAGAUGAUGGAUGGCUGAGGUUAUUGGCAAGGAAUGAGUGCUGAUUACAGGGGUCACACCGGGUUCCUAGUGAAGGCUGGAUAAACUGUGAAGAAGUUAACGGGGUGAGCAUAGCGAAGGAUGGACAUGAGCAAGUCCACAGUGACCGGGAUGCCCAGUGUCCCAACUGGGCUUGCCUCCACUUUGGAAUGUUGCACAGUUCAUCUCAUUAAAACCGAGUUGCCCUGCAAGGAUGCCUUACAUUUCUACCACUUCUGAGAAAGCCCUGCUUCAUUUAGUUAAAAGGGAAUAAUCCAGGGACAUCUACGGAAAGUACUCAGAGCAGAAAACGCGUCAUUACAGGGAUCUUAAUCCUGAACCGAGGCAAGAGGUGUUGUGUGACAAAUAACUUCACACUUUGCUCUUGAACUGGGUCCCACAGUGGGGUCAUAUCUUAAGACUUAAAAUAAGUCCUCAUGCAUUCUCAUAAAAUAACCAGGGGGCUCCCUGAAAAGUAGGGAAUUAUGAGCUGCUCUAACCAAAUAGCCUUCUGUAGACAACGAAAGACUUCAUCUGCAGCCAUUUCUCCCGUCUUCCUUGUGGAGUCUUGAUGUUUUCCUGUGUCACCCUAUAUACGAACACACAGAGAGACAGUGGCUCCACACCUUAAAAGUGAUCCUGGUCCCUCCGAAUGGCUGGCGAGACAACACCUUUUUACAAAAUUAUUAGUAUUAUGUUAUAUUUUUAAUUGCAGACCCAGGUUGUGCAACCUUGCAUCUCAACUGUGCUUUAACUCGGCCUUAGACAAAUGUUCUUUGAAGUUUGUUUAUGAAAAAAAGGACAUCGAGAAGUUGGACAGAACCCGGUGGAGCACAAACAAGCUUUUUCUUCUUUGUCGCCGAAAGCCUGUUUCUUGCAUGUUGUCCCGUAACUGAAGUUGAAAGCAACGUUAUCAACAUUUCUGAUAAAAAGCCUUUUCAUCGUGCUUCAGGCUGAGGUCUGCAUUUCCUGUGGAUUUGAUGCCUGGGAUGCUAUGUUCUUUGUCUCUGUUACUCUGAUAACCUUGAAGUAGGUUCCCACUCAGUGUGCCAAAAAAGCAAGCAAAUUGUUUAAAGACCUUUUGGUAACUAUUUGGACGAUGCUUGGAACUUUGUAUACUGAUGUCUGUCUAUUCUUCUUUCAAUGGGUUGUGUAUUUGUAAUACCUAAGAAUAGUAAAUUAUCAUACACUUUUGCUAUCUAUGCUUUGAGUAACUUACGAAGACGACUGUCUGUGAUCCUCCUAGUUUCUUUUGGGCCAUGCUUUCUUCACCAUUAAUUAGAACCCAAGCUGCCAGAAAACGCCUGUGUUGCUACAUAAAAAUGGCCGUGUCCUCACUAAAGCAUGGUAUUUCGUGUUUCGUAGGAGCCUUCCCUCCCUUGUCAGAUGCAAGGAGAUGGGGGCCCCUCACACUUUCUCCUCCGCUGCCUCCCCCAGGCCACUGCAUUCUUAUCUCCUCUCUCUCUUUACUCACCUGUGAAGAUCAGCUCUUCAAAGCACUUUUAACUUGAAAGAAGUAGAGUUGGGGUUUUUCCCAAUGCUGCCUAACGUUCAGAAGGAAAGAAAUUCUUAAAUGCAAACUCACCAGCAAUCUCUUUCUCUGUUUCUUUACAACUUUUUGACGGACACAAAGAUUGUUUUUUUUGGAUGCAACCAUUUUUAACUGAAAGUAUGGAAGAGUUGUUGAAAGAAUGUGUGUUACUCUUUUCUCUGUAAUUCUGAUUUAGCAAAAUUUCUGUAGCAAGUUGGGAUUAACAAUCUUCUAGUUUUAACGGAGGUUGUUGAGGAGGGAUGCGACCUGAAAGCUGAGGAUUACAGUAAUUGCGUGAACUCUGUUUUUUGGAUGAAGGAAAAGAAAUGAGGUGAGUAAAUUUGGUAAUACCUGAAAUGGAAACAGAGUUAAUUAGUGUUGAAUAAAAUGUUGGCGCUAAGAGCGUGAAUGCUGAACUCAACACUUGCGACUGGUCUUUUUGAGCGUUUCAGUAAUUGCAUGACUUUAAAAUAGUCAUUAUAAAGAUAUAUGAGAUCUACCUGUUUCCAUCACUAAUUCUUAUGAAUCUUUUGGAAAAACAUGAGCUUCUCUGAACCUCAGUUUCCAAUUACGACAAACAAAGGGAUGGACCAUAUCUAAGACAAUUUCAUGUGUUAAGCUUGUGUCAUUUUAUUGUAUCUGAAGAGAGAGAAUUUCAAUUCAAAUGAUUUAAUUGAGCAUGCCACCAUAGUAACUAGCUUUUUAAAACUUCAUGCUAAUCUUCACCUUUCAAAAAUUUUUUUUCUUGUGACCUAAUAACUACAAUCAUAACACACCUGAAAUAAAAGUGUUGAAUGAGAGGUUUCAAAUAAAAAAUUAAUUUCCAAC
ensembl:lncRNA